rnacentral:snRNA from 1 species
GACCGACACACUCUUGGUGUCGA